AGAGUUUGAUCCUGGCUCAGAUUGAACGCUGGCGGCAGGCCUAACACAUGCAAGUCGAGCGGUAACAGAAAGAAAGCUUGCUUUCUUUGCUGACGAGCGGCGGACGGGUGAGUAAUGCCUGGGAAUAUACCCUGAUGUGGGGGAUAACUAUUGGAAACGAUAGCUAAUACCGCAUAAUCUCUUCGGAGCAAAGAGGGGGACCUUCGGGCCUCUCGCGUCAGGAUUAGCCCAGGUGGGAUUAGCUAGUUGGUGGGGUAAUGGCUCACCAAGGCGACGAUCCCUAGCUGGUCUGAGAGGAUGAUCAGCCACACUGGAACUGAGACACGGUCCAGACUCCUACGGGAGGCAGCAGUGGGGAAUAUUGCACAAUGGGGGGAACCCUGAUGCAGCCAUGCCGCGUGUAUGAAGAAGGCCUUCGGGUUGUAAAGUACUUUCAGUUGUGAGGAAGGCAGUUAAGUUAAUAGCUUAGCUGUUUGACGUUAGCAACAGAAGAAGCACCGGCUAACUCCGUGCCAGCAGCCGCGGUAAUACGGAGGGUGCGAGCGUUAAUCGGAAUUACUGGGCGUAAAGCGCGUGCAGGCGGUCUGUUAAGCAAGAUGUGAAAGCCCGGGGCUCAACCUCGGGACAGCAUUUUGAACUGGCAGACUAGAGUCUUGUAGAGGGGGGUAGGAUUUCAGUGUAGCGGUGAAAUGCGUAGAGAUCUG
rnacentral:rRNA from 1 species